UGGUGGACUGAUUUGUCUGGUUAAUUCCGAUAACGAACGAGACCUUAACCUGCUAACUAGUGACCAGUACCUUUUGGCCGGUCUCGUUUCUUCGACCGCAGCGCCGCGACUUCGGUUGUGUGCUUGUGGUCGGCGGACCGGUCGUAUUGGGCGCACUUCUUAGAGGGACAUUCGGCGUUGCAGCCGAAGGAAGUUUGAGGCAAUAACA
rnacentral:rRNA from 1 species